UACGUAGGGUGCAAGCGUUGUCCGGAAUUAUUGGGCGUAAAGAGCUCGUAGGCGGUCUGUCGCGUCUGCUGUGAAAACUCGGGGCUUAACCCCGGGCCUGCAGUGGGUACGGGCAGACUAGAGUGCGGUAGGGGAGACUGGAAUUCCUGGUGUAGCGGUGAAAUGCGCAGAUAUCAGGAGGAACACCGGUGGCGAAGGCGGGUCUCUGGGCCGGAACUGACGCUGAGGAGCGAAAGCGUGGGGAGCAAGCAGG
rnacentral:rRNA from 1 species